rnacentral:rRNA from 1 species
AUGUGAUCGUCUCUCGCAUAUCAAUAAGCGGAGGAAAAGAAACUAACAAGGAUUCCCCUAGUAACGGCGAGUGAAGCGGGAAGAGCUCAAAUUUGAAAUCUGGCAGCCUUCGGUUGCCCGAGUUGUAAUCUAGAGAAGUGUUUUCCGUGCCGGCCCAUGUACAAGUCCCUUGGAGCAGGGCGUCAUAGAGGGUGAGAAUCCCGUAUUUGACCUUUACUUUCAACUUUGUGAUACACUUUCAAAGAGUCGGAUUGUUUGGGAAUGCAGUCCAAAAUGGGUGGUAAAUUUCAUCUAAAGCUAAAUAUUGGCGAGAGACCGAUAGCGAACAAGUACCGUGAGGGAAAGAUGAAAAGAACUUUGAAAAGAGAGUUAAACAGUACGUGAAAUUGUCAAAAGGGAAGCGUUUGACACCAGUGUUGUUUUUCUGAAAAUCAAUUAAAGAACUGUUUAUGCUAAGCUGUUUAGACUUUAUCAGCUAAUCUGUUUAGUUUUGAGCUUUUCUUUAAUGCACUUUUCAGUUAACAAGUCAACAUCAAUUUCUUUUGCUGUAAAAAAGCUUGAGGAAGGUGGCUUGAGAUUCGUCUUAAGUGUUUAUAGCCUCUUGCCUAUGCAGUCGGAGAGAUUGAGGUCUGCAGCGUAGAUCCUUCGGGGCUAAAUGCAUUUGUGCUAAGUUAUAGCAUUUUAUAGACAACUUGUUGACUAUGAUUUGUCUUGUAGCUUACUCGCUUAUGUUAUUUUACCUACGCUUAGGAUGUUGAAGAUAUGCGCGACACG